CUUCCAAUGAUGUCAGGUUGGGCUCCGCCGUCACAUGGACCUGGACCGGAGCCCUCAUUCUGCCUCUCGAUGACUCUGACCUGGGAACCUGGGAUUGCCAACUGGCUCGGGACCAUGUAGCCACGAAGUCGCAGAGCCAUGUUUUGAACCCGUGGAUCUCUCAGAUUGCAACCUCUGUGCUCUUUAAGCAGAGCUCCCAGUGGGAUAAUGGCUUGUAACUGGCUGACGUCUCUGACCUGGAAUCGGACUGACAGAUGUGAGAUGGCAAGUCCAGGGAGAAGAAUGGAGCCCGCCUCUGACCUUUCUGUCCUCACCAAUGACGCGCGCCUGCACUCUUCCGUCUCUUGUCUCUUGCCCGUGUGUGGCAGGAGCGUGCCUCAGGAUUUUGAACACGG